AUGUCGGUUCCGCUAUUGGCAACCGCUCUUGGCAACCGUCUUUGUAUCCGGGUAUAUAUACCACAAACUUCAUCAAUGAAAGUAACUGUUCCAUCAUUUGCUCCCUAUCUCGUUUUUACUUUCACACGUUAUCAGCACCUUGCCCUAACACAACGAUUAGGCCAGACCUACUUGACGCCUCGGGCGAUUCCCAGCACUGCCGGCUUUAUCUCGCGCGGCGGACUGCAGCAACGAGUCUUGGCACGGAUGGCGACAUUAGUCACGGCAGCGCCAGCGUCUGCCUCUGUACUCGCGAUGACGACUCCAUCCAGCGGGAUUCAAUCAACCAUAACCCUUCCAUGGCAAGAAUCGAUGGACAUGCUUCUGCAAAAGAGGAAAACUAGAUCAGGAGAUUCUUCAAUUUGUUUUUGUCUUCUUGCAAUCAAUCACAGAUCUAAUAACUGUUCUGUUUUUGUAAAUCGCUUCACCCGGCGUAUGCUCGUAGUGAGAUGGAUUGAUCACUACUCCAGCAGAAAGAGGGAGAAAUCCUCAAUCAAGAAGAAAAAUCAACAUCAAGAACAAGAUUAG
rnacentral:rRNA from 1 species